GCAGAGUGGCCUGGCAGACGGGGGGAGAGCUAGGCAGCCCCCAAAGUGUGUGGCAGGCAACUUAAAACUGGUUCUCGGGCCAGAGACUUUUGUCCGCCUCUGGACCUCUACAGAAUAAAAGGCAAGGUUGUCCUGUAGGGGGUUCUGUCUAUGGACAUAGUCCUCCAUGAGUCAGAGGGUCCUGCUAAGACUGGAAUGGAGUGUGCAUAUACUGCCGAGAAAUAAAAAUGUUGGAAAUGCCCUGCAACGUCCAAGAAGGGUGCAAUUAAAUGAAAUAUUAAAGUAACAAACUUGAGAAAAAGGAAAAGAAAUUAUUUCAAAGCUAAAUUUGUUUUAUUUGCAUUUCAAAAACUGGAUUAUAAACUAAUGAUUUUAAAAUUACUUUAGGUUUAUAAAGAGCUUUGUUUCAAGAUUGUAUGUACGUCAAUGUAAUAAAAAAGAUAGUAGGAAUGUCAGUAACUUCACAACAGUUUUCCUUUUCCUGAGUUGUCUGCCGUGAGUAUUUGCCGGUCCAAAGGCAAGCCAACCUUUUUUUUAAUGUAGAGGCUUUUCAAAAGAGAAGAUCAUUUCAUUCCCUCUGUAGAUUCCAUUGAUCUUUGGAAUGAAGAAUGAAAGAAGAAAAAAAUAUUCUUUGAAAAAGAGUGUAUUUUGGGUUCCUAUCCCCAAAGCAACGUCAGAAAAGCCAGCCUGGUGGACUCCUAUCACUUAUUCAGGGAAGCGGCCCUGAAGGGGAACUUCCAAAGCCUGCACACAGCCAGGCUCUCCUGCAGCUGCACGAGACAGGGUGGCGCACACUGGUACAGCUACGCCGACCAUUAAAAUGUGGAAGCACUUCCAUGCAAGUCAGUGAGCAGCUUUCCUUCAGGGUUCCCCAAGGCCGCCAGUCUACAUCUCUCCCGAGUCCUACAAGACGACAGAAAAUGUUUUGAACCCUUAAAACUGCUCUUUGCACGAGGGCAACGUUCCCUUCGAAGGUGAUCUGUCUGUGACGAAGGACAAGCUCAGCUCCCGGAAUGUCUCAUCUGCUAGGUUUUUCUGGUGACUUCUAUUUCAAGGCCUCCUCUCCCUAAUUAGCCUCCCCGAUCGGACUGCUGGAUACCUAACUAAUCCUGAGCUUGCUCUCUCUCUGACUAGAGAGAGAAUUGUGCUUGGUUGUGGUGAGUCAAUGGUGCUUAUGCUAUUUAUCAGCGAGUGAUAUUUUAGAAUCCCACGUGGCAGCUGCUCAGAACUUUCUUUUUGGUAAUAUUAGAUUGGGAAUUACUAAUGGCGAAUAUAUAAACUCUCUUUAAUAUGCAGUCCAAUCAAAGUUGUUCUCAAUAUCUAGCUUCCUAAAUUCAAAUCAGUUUCCAAAGUAGAGUAGUCUGAUGAAACAUUCUUUGGGGGACUUACAGAAAGGUUGAAAGCACUUAGAGCAUCCAUGUUAUUAUUGAUGUUAUGUUAUUAUUGAUAACAGCAUAAUUUGGGGUGUUGACUUGAACAGAUCAUGGGCUCUGCAUCUCUGCCACUUUAAUGUACUUUCUCAUUUUCUUCUCAGCAGCAAAUAAAAUAUUUCAAAAAAAAAAGUUGAGCGCGAGACAAACAGUUGUGCGUGUGUCUUGUCUGUUCUCCAGAGGCAUUUUUUAACAUUUGCCUGUGUUUGUUAUUCUUCUGAGAGGAAGGAAGUGGAACGAAAUGAGUGUAUACCAGCUAAAGCACAACUGGCAAAUGGAUUCGCAACAUGAUUCUUCAAAUGAUUAACAAGCACACUUCCUAUAAGCAGCACACAUCGGUCUCGUCUGUCUCACCAAGCAGAAGAGAAGAGGAAUCUGAUGAGCUCAGGAGUCUGUGGGAGGCUAGAUGAUGAAGUACCAAGGAGACCAAGCCAGAGAAUUGGCAAAUGUCCCCCAGCAGCCUUGCUAAGACCUAUAGCCUGCCCUUUAUUGAUUGAGCAGAGAAGAACAAAGGCCAAAAUGACUUAGGUUUGUAAACUGGCAGAUAGGCAGCAAAAACUUGUUGCCUUGUAACAAGACACAGAACCAAAGAAGGGACAAUGGCAUAAAUAGUUGCUACAUCCAGGAUGCCACAGAAAGAAGAGGUGAUUAACCAGUGACAGAGGAAACGAAGUCCCGGGGAUAGGUGCGAGCCCAGAACUAAAGUUAAGUAUACAGCCCACCCAGGUAGGAAUCCAUUAGGAAGGUUACAUGGAUCUCGAGGGGUGGAAAUUGCUAGAUUCCCAAAUGAUGGGCAGGGUUGCCUAUUUAGGACUUGUAGUGAGGUGAUUUGUAUCCAGUUGUGCAACCCUUACCUUGAAAGAAGAGAAUUAGAGUUGACAUCAAACGUCUGGAAAGCAGUAAUUAGGACAACAAUUCCAUGUACAGCGUGUGCCGCAAUGCCACCACCCGCAAGUGGCACCAGCUCGGUAUUGGCUCCUCCGGAGAUUUCAAGAAACCACUGUGAUGCAGUCUCUGAUCCCAGACUGGUACAUGACUCUCAUGCCUGAGAAGUUAACUUCUCUGGUAGGAAUAGACGCCCAGCAGGUGGCUCAAGGGAAACUGGGCUGUCUUAUGGGAAGACGUUGUUUUCAAAGACGAAGGUGUACCACCAGAUGCCCUGUGGCUGUGGGAGGGAGACCAAGGGAUUAGCCAAGGCAUAUGCUCACAUAACAAGGAUUUUCAGAAACGGACAUCCUCAAAGAACGUAGGAAAUCCAUACCAAAUGUCCCUCUUAAAGUGAUGGCAAUCCAUUAAGACCUCUCCAUACCCUUACCCCCUACCUUCCAUCUUGUUAGGAUAUUUAAGAAUGCAGAGGGGAACUAGCAACAAGGCCCGUCACAUUCUGUUCAUUUUCUUCACAGAGGUGCUGUGCUGGGCUUGGGGAGAAAGCUCUAACUUUACAUGAGAUUGGAAUUUUGACUGAACAUCCCAGGUGAUAGAAUUGAGAAUAUUCUAGGUUUUAUUUUCCAAGGAAUGGCAGGCAUACCCACACCGAUUUCGUCUGAGACAGAUUAUUUCCCUAGGAGUGGAUUUGCUUGCAGUGGUUGUUAGAAAACAAGUAGUUCUGUGAUCGUCCCUUAACAGUCUUGUUUGCUCUGUGCCGUGGCGACACAAAAAUGAAUGAGUAAAGAAGCAGGCAAGUUAAAUCGAGCUGGAGAGUGCCUCCAGAAAUGAGGACACAUUUGGCUGAAGUCGUGCAAGACUGGCAAGGCCUGAAAAUCUGCUGGAGACUCCAGGGCCAGAAUCUACGGUGUGUUUAGGUAAGUAGAAGAAUCCAGCUUGAGUGGGUCCCUUUAAGGACCUGCUCCUGGCUUUGCCUUUCAGAAGAAACUAUCUCUUGACUCAAUGUCUUCAUCGGGAAGGCAACAAAAGCAGUCUAUUUGUAAAGAUUAAGCAUUCCUCGGUGAGCUCAUCAGAUUUGUUUUUCUUAAAAGAGAGUUGACAUUUGUGGCUGGGUGACUGGCUCUGAUUCUGGGGUCGCACCUGCCUCGCCUAUCAUGGAGGGUGUUCACGCCCCAGUGUGACACAGUCUUGUGUGUGAGUUAGGGUAACAAGUGUGCUCUCUCUUCUGGACACUCAUGGCCAGCACACGCUGGCUACCCACGUUCCUGUGUUCCUAGACUGGGAAGUAAGUCCAUGCUGAAGGGGCGGAGCAAUGGCAUCCAGAGUCAUGGCGAUGGAGCAUAGCAGGAAAAUGAGCAUCGUGUGACUCCACGGCAGGAUCUCUCUAUAGCCUCCCACUCUCCAUCUGCUCUGUCUCCGCAUGUUGUGUGCAGAAGUGGCUGGCUUCUAUUAAGGAAUCACCAAGAACCAUUACCAUAUUCAACCUUGGCUCUCGAGUUAACUCGUGCCGUGAUCAAGACCAAGCAAUUUGCCUUUUCAGAUCUAAGCCUUACGGUCUACUACAAGUCUGGACUAGAUCAGUGGAAUUAAAUAAAGUAAAUGAGUGCCCAGAAAGCAGUGGCGGUGUCACUGAGGAGUGGCUGGUCCUUCUCGGCUCUUCACGUGGGCAUCCUGGACUGAAAUCCUCUUCAUGCUGGGCAUCCUGGACUGAAACCCUGGCUCUGGCUGUGAGAACACACUCGUGUCCUUUUCUUUCUUCCUUGGUUCUUCUCUGCUCCACUGGUUCCUUCAUCUUCCGUUUCCCUCUGGGACACGGCGUCAUACAGGAUGAGGGAGACUGGGUGAGAGCUAGUGUUCUUCCCUCUAGGUAAUCCACACAUUUCUAAAGCCCAGCCGGGCACCUGUUAGACGCACAGCCGUGCCAACCACGGUCUGAGCAUGCGCCAAGAUGAAACUGCAGCGGUGGAGCGGGUUCCUACAGCAUCCUCCAGUUUCCAUCCCAGAAAGACCACCGAGCUGGGUCAUGCGUGACCCGUGCCUUGUAGCUCCACUUCCGGCUCGCGACUCUGAGAAACACAAAGGGCUUCCCCUGAGCCUCUUAGGUGGUUGUGUUCCCUGCAGCGCCGCAUGCGAGGGCUUAUAAUAGAAUGCAGUGAUCUGGAUUCCCCGGGCUCACAUUUGCUUUGUAAAAGAGACUUUGGCAGAAUGAAGCAACACCUUUUCCUCUCUCAGCGAAGCCUGAAAGCAACGCCAUGGACCCACUGUGAAGUCUGUGAAAAUACAGCUUCCCACUGACAGACGAGAAAUGACUUUCUUCUCUAACCCCACUCCCCCCCCGCCCCAAGUGAAGAAGACCAUUGGUUUAAUGAGUGCAGAGGCACACAGAAAAUGAUUUCUGGGAAUGAAAAUGUCCACUUAGUGCUUGAAAAAAAAAAAGAUUAUUGCUAUAAAAUAGUAUGCUGGGUAGGUCAGCCUUUGGGAGACCGGUCACUAAGAGAAUGGGAGAGUUACAGACGCAUAUAGCGCUCUAGAUGGCAAGCUGCUUACAGCCAACCAUGACAGAGCUGUACUUCUGGAUCUCCUGCAGUCAACACAGUCCCGGAAACGUACUGGGUACAGCACGUGAACUGGUACAAGAGAACGCAUCCCGUGGGGACAGGUGGCCUGUCUCAGGAACAGAUGACAUUGUCACUAUCGGUUCUCCAUGGCUUGGUGUGGCUCCAGCAUUCCAGUUGUGCUCCUCAUCCCUCGCCUGUGUGAGCAUACUUUCCCAGCGCACCAGGAACCCAGGGCCUUGCAGAUACACCAGAAGAGAACAUUCCAAGGGCUGUGGCCACCCCUGUCGUUCCUCAGUGGACACACCCGGGUAUUGGGACUUUGAAGGGAGCAGUGAGAGAAGAGAAGACGUAUCAAGGGAGGGGACGGAGAGAGAGGGUGGCGCGAUGCCUGUGACAGGAAACCAGAAGGGAGAACUAAUGGGGAGAGGAAGAGGCCACAAGAGGGGAGAGGGAGGAUCAGAACAAAGUGCACCAACAUAUGUAAAGUUAAUUAACAAUAGUGGAAAAUGCAUAUUCCUUUAAAAGUAGUGACAAGAUUCAUGAGCAUUAUUGAAAAAUCCCAUUCUCCUCCCUUUAUUUUCAUCAGACAAGAACUUGUGCUGUUAUGGGAAGGGAAUGCCAUAUUUAGUUAGGUACUUCAAAAAAAAAAAACCAAAAACAAAAAAGCGUCUUAUUCCUGGGUGUUGGUGGCGCACGCCUUUAAUCCCUGCACUUGGGAGGCAGAGGUGGGGGAUCUCUGUGAGUUCGAGGCCAACCUGGUCUACAGAGUGAGUUCCAGGACAGGCUCCAAAACUAUACAGAGAAACCCUGUCUCAAAAAACAAAACAAAACAACAACAACAACAAAAAAGGGUUACAGUGCUAUCUUCCUUUGAGGGAAAAACAGAUCAUGUGCAAUUACUGUUUGCUGUAAUAUGUCUAUUCUUUAAGAACAACAACAACAAGCAAACAAACUUGUGAGUGGGAGCCACAGGACUGAGAGGGGCUCUGGGGUCGAGGAGGAGAUGGAGGAUAAGCACUGAGCCAGAAGCAGGGAGAUGGUGUUUGUUACCAUGGUGACGGCAUCUAUCCAGGCUGGAUGGCGCUGUGGCUGACUUGUGGGAGAAAACACUUUCCUUGGUGACUGUGUAGCUGAGGACAGUAAGAAUGUAAAGAACCAAAUUAACACCCAGUCUGACAGCCUGGGCCAUGUUUCCUUGAGUACGCUGGGCUAUGCCGUCUAUGGGUAGCAGUCUACAGACGGCAAUCUACAGGAGACAAUCUACAGGUGACAGUCCAUGGGUAACAAUCUAUGGGUGGCAGCCUACAGUCAGCAAUCAUCUACAGGAGACAAUCAACGGGUGACAAUCUGUGGGUGGCUUUUACGGGCGGCAAACUGUGGUAGCAAUGUACAGUGGUCCUCUGUGGGCUACUUCAGAAGUUUUAAAAUACAUGGACUCAAAAAGCAGAAGACUGAUCUCCCGCUUUAACAUGAAGUACGAUUCCAAGAGUGAAAACAAUGUGUUUGUCAUCUAAUGGCCUAGCUUGUAAAAGGCCAGAGGCAAGGGUUGUAUCCAAGUCUUGUUUUAAUUCAGCCUAAUGCAUUUAGCGGAGACCUACUUUCAUCAGGCCAAUUGUCGCGGCAGGAAAAUUCAUCAACGGCACACUUCAGACAUCCAUGGUGGAUGCUCACCCUAGGCCAAGGCCGGCCAUCUCAUCACCACUUCCUGCAUCUCGUGGAUUUCCUAGAGAAAUCACUGCUGUCCUGUUUCUGACUUGGUUUUCUGAUGGCUGCUUAAUUAAAUGGUUAGGAAAAGAUCACCAAUGACAGGCUUCAAUGUUUGUCCAUUAAUGUGACAAUAUCACAAUUCACUGCCUGCAAUUAGUAAAUGGAAGCACACAUCAAUAUGCAUCUGUAUACACAGGGUUCACAUGAAUGAAUUAUGCUAUACACAUUGAGCUAUAAUUCUCAUUUAUCAAAAUCCCUUAACAAAUAUUUACAUGUCUUUAUAGAUAAUCUACUUUAUCGACUGUUGUAUAAUGUUCUACAGUAUGGAUAUACGAUAAUUUUAGACAAAUAUAAUUAAUGAAUAUUCCAAUUGUUUGUAAUUUUAAUCUACAGAGGGAGGGUUGUAAACUUCCUAAGAAGGAUCAGAUAAUAAAUAUUUUCCAUUUGUGCAAACAUAAAGCCUCCAUUGCAAUUAUUCAAGUCUAUUGUUGUGAUAAUGAAACAGCCAGAGAUGAUAAAUUGAAAAAUGAAUAUGGCUAUAUUCUAAUAAUACUUCGUUUUCAAAACCAGACAGUGGGGUGGACCUUGGCAUGGUCUGUAUCUUGCAAAUCUUGAUAUAAGUUUUGGAGAGAUGUUGUUGUGUUUACAUGGCCUUGCUUCUUCUAUUAAUUUUUAAAUGCAUAUAUGCAAAUACACACAUACACAGUAUCAGAUAAGGGUCAUCAUAACAAAAUGUCCAAGUCUGGUUGCUUUAUACAACAAAGAUGUGUUUUUCACAGUUCUAGAGACCAGGAUGCAAGAUGGAAAUAUGUGUUGGUUACUGGUGAGGACUCUCCUUACAGAAGCUAGUUGCUGCAUGGUUCAUCACAUGGGUAGGAUUAGUGGAGGUGUGGGAAUCACAGAAAGAGAGAGUUCUUUUGGUGCCUCUUCUUUUUAAAAUUUUAGUAUACUUAGCUCGAUGUAUUAUUUAUCUUUAAAAAAUGUACAGCAUUUAAUAUGAAUAUUGAAACCUAUUUUUCAAUCUCUCUUGGGUACCAUGUCUUCAAAACUCUGUUGUACCUUACCCUUACUGCACACCUCUCCUCCCUCCCUUUAUUUGAUUACUAUUACAAUCAAAGAGAUGUAUUACAUACAUGUAAAUGUGUAAAUACAACCUGCUGACUCCAUUUCAUGUUGCUCAUAUACCUAUGGCUUUAGGGCUGACCACUUAGUAUUGUAUGACCAGGAUACCUGCUGUGAGAUUGUGUCUUCUAUAUAGGACAGGGGAGCUACAUCCAUUAAAUGUCAACAAUUUUGUAGCCUCUACAAGACCUGAGCAAUGACACCACCAGUUGACAUGCCUACGAAGAUCUGGGAAAUACCACAGGCAAUUAAUGAUGCUGGUACCUCUACUUUUAAGGGCACUAAAAUCUGUCUUACAGCCACCACCCCCCUUUCAUGACUGUUUCUCCGAAGAUCACAUUGAAAGUUAGUCCCCUACACAAUGAAUUUUGGAGGAAUAAGUUCAUAAUAUUGAAUAGAAAUGGAUUUUAAAAUUAUAAAUAUUAAUGUGUACCGUAAGAUUUUCUACAGUUGAUAGUUCUAUCAAAGUCUGUGAGAGCAUCCAAUUUCCUACAUGUUGUCACUAGGACCUUAUUAUGGGUGAUAUUAUUAUUUGAUCAUCUAGUGGGUAAAUAUUUUGGUUUGAUUUGCAUACCUUUAAUUACACAUGAAGACAAAUUCAUGUUUAUUGAUGAACUAUGUUUUUUCAUCUAGGAAUCUCCAAUGUAUAUCUCUGGUCAAUAUGCCUAUGUUAACAUUUUUCUCAUUGAUUUUAUUAAAUUCUUUAUGCAGGAGAGAUGUCAAGUCUUGUUUACUUGUCAGCAAUGUGUGUUCCCAUGACAACUAGAUGUGGCCUUUAAUAAUACCCAUCAUAUUCUGGAGCCUUCUUCCGUGUUGUCCCUUGCCCACUUGAUCAAGUUUCUUGAGGUCAAGACUACUUAUCUCCACUUUGUCCCUAGCAGUGACUACAGUUUCUAUCUUACAACUUUUGUACCACAAGCGAUUGAUAAAUAAACUAAUAACACAUA